rnacentral:rRNA from 1 species
AUUGAACGCUGGCGGCAUGCCUUACACAUGCAAGUCGAACGGCAGCACGGGGGCAACCCUGGUGGCGAGUGGCGAACGGGUGAGUAAUGCAUCGGAACGUGUCCUCUUGUGGGGGAUAACCAGUCGAAAGAUUGGCUAAUACCGCAUGAGAUCGAGAGAUGAAAGCGGGGGACCCGAGGGUAACUUCGGGCCUCGCGCGAGAGGAGCGGCCGAUGCCGGAUUAGCAGUUGGUGGGGUAAGAGCCUACCAAGGCGACGAUCCGUAGCUGGUCUGAGAGGACGACCAGCCACACUGGGACUGAGACACGGCCCAGACUCCUACGGGAGGCAGCAGUGGG